GACGAACGCUGGCGGCGUGCUUAACACAUGCAAGUCGAACGGAAAGGCCAUGCUUUUGUGGGGUGCUCGAGUGGCGAACGGGUGAGUAACACGUGAGUAACCUGCCCUUGACUUUGGGAUAACUUCAGGAAACUGGGGCUAAUACCGGAUAGGAGCUCCUGCUGCAUGGUGGGGGUUGGAAAGUUUCGGCGGUUGGGGAUGGACUCGCGGCUUAUCAGCGUGUUGGUGGGGUAGUGGCUUACCAAGGCUUUGACGGGUAGCCGGCCUGAGAGGGUGACCGGCCACAUUGGGACUGAGAUACGGCCCAGACUCCUACGGGAGGCAGCAGUGGGGAAUAUUGCACAAUGGGCGGAAGCCUGAUGCAGCAACGCCGCGUGCGGGAUGACGGCCUUCGGGUUGUAAACCGCUUUCGCCUGUGACGAAGCGUGAGUGACGGUAAUGGGUAAAGAAGCACCGGCUAACUACGUG
rnacentral:rRNA from 1 species